CGAGUGCCCUGGGCGUUUGGGUCCCAGACCGCAGAUUGUGAGCUUGGUAUAGAAUUUGGAGUAUGAGGGACUUGAGAAAUAAUAGACGAGAGGAUCCAGCAUGCUGUUCAGACUCCUCAGCUCCAGGGUUGCAAGCAUGAGCCGCUGCACCGUGUCUACCUUCUCAGAAAAUUGGAAGAUCCGCCUCACUGGAUCAGUAUUCCCACACAGCAACAGCCCACAGGAGCCGAGAGCAGCCAUCAGCCCACCCGACCCGGGACCUGAGUUCUGGGGUUUGCCACAGUCCCCACCUGACAUCUGGUGGCAUUGGCCCCGAGCUUAAAGCUGGGAGAAAGUUCUCCUAAGGUGAAAAGCCGAAUUGCUUCACAGUGUGACUAUGUGUCACCCUGAUCUGUCACAGGUUCUGAAGGAAGUUCCCCGCCAUUUCAAAAUAAACGCUGAAAACUACAAAAACAAACAAACAAAAAAAACCACUCUACAAUUGAUGGAUUCUUUGUACAUAUGAACCGUAAAAAAAAGUUUAAAAGAAGAGAGAAACUCUAGACUUAAGGAGAUUUAAGAAACAGAUUGAUUGAAAUCUGAUUCCAAGUCCCAAGUUAAAAGUCAAAGACACUGGGCUGGAGAGAUGGCUCAGGGGUUAAGAGCACUGGCUGCUCUUCCAGAGAACCUGGGUUCAAUUCCUAGCACCCACAUGGUAGCUCACAAUGACCUGUAACUCUUGUUCCAGGGGA